GAGUAUUGAUGAGUUUACUGACAGGUUUCUGGAAUUGCUGCGGUAUGCAGGACAGGCCUAUGAUACUGAACAGAAAAAGGCCAGGAGGUAUGCGAUGAAACUUCAUUCCAGGUAUUCCUCUUUGAUCCAUGCAGCCGAGAGGGAGAGUUUCCACACCGUGGUGGAUUUAGCACGGAGAAUGGAGGCUAGUGCCAUUAUACAGGGUACAGUGAAACAGCAGCCGGCAC
rnacentral:lncRNA from 1 species